rnacentral:rRNA from 1 species
UACGUAGGGUGCAAGCGUUAAUCGGAAUUACUGGGCGUAAAGCGUGCGCAGGCGGUUUUGUAAGACUGUCGUGAAGUCCCCGGGCUCAACCUGGGAACUGCAUUUGUGACUGCAUCGCUGGAGUGCGGCAGAGGGGGAUGGAAUUCCGCGUGUAGCAGUGAAAUGCGUAGAUAUGCGGAGGAACACCGAUGGCGAAGGCAAUCCCCUGGGCCUGCACUGACGCUCAUGCACGAAAGCGUGGGGAGCAAACAGG